GUGCUCGCUUCGGCAGCACAUAUACUAAAAUUGGAAUGAUACAGAGAAGAUUAGCAUAAAGCUUAUCAACAACGAGAAGCGUGUAAUACAGGAGUUCAAGAAAUUU